CUUCUCUCCCCUCUUCCCUCCGCUCCUGCUGUGCGGGAACUGGAGAAUCGUUAGGACGUGGAGGAAGCAGAGAAGUGGAUCAGAGAACAGGAGGGCUGGGAAGAGUCCUGGUUUCUCAAUCCUGACUGAGCAUCUGAAUCACCUGAGAAGCUACUAAAAUGCAGAUUCCCCGACCCCAUCCCCUUAGAGUCAGAGUCUGUGCAUUUAGGGUGCGGCCUUUCUCAGAGGGAUCGACUGAGACCUACUGAACCCUAGAAGUCUUUACCUGAGGCAGUUCCUGCAAUGUACUGUAUAUUUCAUGACAUUCCAUGUAAAAGAUGACAAGACCGAGACCGUUGAGUGACAGAGAUAAGAACUGACUUAUCUAAGGCUCCACAGGUGGUAGAUGGCAGAGCCGAGACCUGAGCCAAUUAUCUUUUCUCCUGCACUGUGCGGGGUAAUACAGCUCGUUUAAAACAAGCUGGAGUCUCCAUUCCGUUUUCCGCGUUGCUUCUCACAACUCACUGUUAGAAUCCAGAAGUAAGAGAACCCGGGGAAGCGUAAGGAAGAUGAAUAGGACAAAGAUUCUAAGAAGGUGGGAAGGAAGAAGGCUGCAGUCUAUUUCAAGUCUGGUGAAUUUCAAUCACUGUAGCCUUUAUUGUUAUUUUAGAGCCACCUAGACCAAAAGAGAAGGAGCUCAAAUUGCUGGAGGGGAUUUAGUGGCAGGAGGACAAAGUCAGAAGAGAAAUUUUUCACAGUAUAUCUUCUUGAGCCAUGUGACCAUAUGCUCUAAUUUUUUUAACUAUAAAAUUUAAAUUAAAAAAACCACAAAAAUUCGACGCAAGAGCAGCAGCCACAGUGGCUGAAGAUGAGAGGACUCCUGUGCCAGCCAAGGUGGAAGCAGAAAUUACUCCCCAGUCUCCACUGACUACAGGAACAGGAGGGCCACACACCCAUUUGGUGGCCAUAACAUUGAAAGCUGGGACAGCAGGACUGGUCUGGACCUGAGGCGUAAAAGACAACACUUGCAGCCAGCCCUGGUACUUGCAUAGUGGCAAAAUGUCCCAAGCUGGAGGAAAUGGAUAAGAAUUGGGUACACAUCACCCGUACUGGGAAUAAACAAAUGUGUUCUGAUUAUUUGGAAAAAGCAGACAUUCUAGGGGUAGGGAGUUCUAAAGCCUUGGUGCACUUGAAUGGAUAAACUUCCCAGGAGCAGAGUUUUCCAAGCAUGGCUCCCUGUGGUUCACCUCUACCAAGCUUAACCUACCUUCUGCUUAGGCAGAGCGAAGAGGCACCUCAGCAUAACUCAGAUCAAAAUGGAAGCAUCUCAUUUCUUAAAAGCUGUCAAAGAAUUGGUGUGAGGUUUAAAAACGUCUCUGAGCUUGAUGGAAGGAAGGUAGGCGGUGAUAGUUCAUGCUCCCUUUCCUCCAGACACUUCUCAUUUUCCUUUCUUAACCUGCUUUGAUAUUAUGAUUUCUUUUGCUUCAUUUGUUAAGUUCUCUUACAACACUUCUUGUUCACAAGUGAGUGAAGAGCUGUUCUCUGCUUGUAACGUUGGAAAUGGGGGAGUGUUUCAGAAAUGACACAACAAAGCAUUAAGCCAUGAAACAAGAAGGGGAACUUCAGACAGAAUUACAACAGUCAUUUGAGAAUCUCACUGAGAGCUAAUAAAAGCCACACACACACAGAGGAGUGUUUUCCAGUUAUUUUUUUGUCGUACUUUGUUGAGUUUCCUGCUUUCGGUUUUCCUAACUUAGCCACAGAAAGUGUAGGCAUGAAAAACAUAUUGGCUGGAUUACCUAUAAGACUUCGCUUUUUAGAAAACAAGCAAACAAACUCAGAUUUUGUCAUACUAGCACCUAAGGCAUAGUUCUUGCUUUUUUUCAUUCUUACACACACACUCACACACACCACAAACACACACAUACACAUACACGCACACACGUAUGUUUGUGUUUGGAUAGAUAGAGAUAUAUGUCAUAGACCAUUAACUGCUAGGGAUCUUAUAGGUCAUAAGUUGAUGUCUUCAUCUCACAGAUUAGAAAAUGGAGGAUUAAACAAG
rnacentral:lncRNA from 1 species